rnacentral:rRNA from 1 species
CAAAAACAUGUCUUUUUGAUUUUGAUUUAAAGUCUGGCCUGCCCAAUGAUUUUUGAAUGGCCGCAGUAUUUUGACUGUGCAAAGGUAGCAUAAUCAUUAGUUUUUUAAUUGAAAGCUGGAAUGAAAGGUUUGAUGAGAAAAUAACUGUCUCUAUAUGAAUGGUUUAGAAUUUCAAUUUUAAGUGAAAAAGCUUAAAUAUUUUAUAAAGACGAGAAGACCCUAUAGAGUUUUAUAUUUGGCUGAAUUUAGAGAUUUAGGAAUUUAUUUUUUUAUUUUCGUUUAAAUAUUUUGUUGGGGCGAUGGGAAAAUUUAAUUAACUUUUUUUUGUUUGAGACAUUGAUUUAUGGUUAUAUGAUCCUUUUUUUUGGAUUACAAGACUAAAUUACCUUAGGGAUAACAGCGUAAUUUUUUUUGGAGAGUUCUUAUCGAUAAAAAAGUUUGCGACCUCGAUGUUGGAUUAAAAUUAAAUUCUGGUGCAGAAGCUAGAAUUUUAGGUCUGUUCGACCUUUAAAAUUUUACAUGAUCU